UAUGAGGGGCGGACAAAGGCGGCGGCGAGGGCCUGCCGUUCGCCGCCAUUUUGCGCAGCGGGCUCUGAGGAGCGGCAGCCGCAUCCGGAGCGCUUCUUCUUCUUCUCUCUCCGCCAUCACCAUGUCGCGGGAUCGGUUCCGUAGCCGUGGCGGCGGUGGAGGCGGCUUCCACCGGCGCGGCGGAGGCGGUGGCCGCGGAGGCCCCAAUCACGAUUUCCGCUCUCCGCCGCCCGGCAUGGGCAUGGGCCAGAACCGGGGCCCUAUGGGAGGCGGCCCGCAGGGCCCGGGCGGCCCGCCGGGCGGAGGCCCGAAGCCCGAGCCUCCGAAGCCGCCCGCGUCGACCUCUGCUCCGCCUUCCUCGUCUUCUUCGUCAGCCGCCACCACAGCGGGGCCCGCCGGCAGCCAGGCCGGCCCCGGAGCGCCUCCGUCGUCCGCGCUGCCCUCGGGGCAGACGCCGCAGCAGCAGCCCCCGGUGUCGACACCUUCCUCGACUCCUGGCCCGGGUGGGCAGGCGCAGCCCAAGCCGAGCCCCAGCCCUACCCCGGCCGGCGGCCCUAAGAAAGGACAAGGACAGUCGCCCGGCGGCGGGCCCAAGGGACCGGGUGGCCCCCAGCAGGGGCCCGGCGGGCCGCACAAGGGCGGGCCGGGGCACCGCGGCGGACCGGGCGGAGAGCAGCGCGGGCGCGGACAGCAGCACCAGGGACAGCAGAGCCUUUCCUCACAGCAGGGUCCGGCCGGCGGCGGCGAAAAGCUCUCGGACGAGGGAUUUAAAGCAAACCUCUCUCUGCUGAGGCGACCCGGGGAGAAGACCUAUACUCAGCGUUGCCGCUUGUUUGUGGGGAAUUUGCCUGCUGAUAUAACAGACGAAGACUUUAAAAGACUGUUUGCUAAAUAUGGGGAGCCAGGAGAGGUUUUUAUCAACAAGGGGAAAGGCUUUGGAUUCAUUAAAUUGGAAUCCAGAGCUCUUGCAGAAAUUGCGAAGGCAGAACUGGAUGAUACCCCCAUGCGGGGUCGUCAGCUUCGUGUUCGGUUUGCCACCCAUGCCGCCGCUCUCUCAGUGCGUAAUCUUUCACCCUAUGUGUCCAACGAGUUGCUGGAGGAAGCGUUUUCCCAGUUCGGUCCAGUGGAAAGAGCGGUUGUGAUUGUAGAUGAUCGAGGUAGAUCAACAGGAAAAGGCAUUGUUGAGUUUGCGUCAAAGCCAGCGGCAAGGAAAGCCUUUGAACGGUGUACCGAAGGAGUGUUUUUGUUGACAACCACUCCUAGGCCAGUUAUUGUGGAACCGUUGGAACAGCUGGAUGAUGAAGAUGGUCUUCCAGAAAAGCUUGCUCAGAAGAAUCCAAUGUAUCAAAAGGAAAGAGAGACUCCUCCCCGCUUUGCUCAGCCUGGCAGUUUUGAAUUUGAAUAUUCCCAGAGGUGGAAAUCUUUAGAUGAAAUGGAAAAACAACAGAGAGAGCAAGUAGCAAAAAACAUGAAAGAUGCCAAGGACAAACUUGAAAGUGAGAUGGAAGAUGCUUAUCAUGAGCAUCAGGCAAACCUCUUGCGUCAAGACCUCAUGAGGCGUCAGGAAGAGUUGAGACGUAUGGAAGAGCUCCAUAACCAAGAAAUGCAGAAACGCAAGGAAAUUCAGCUCAGGCAGGAGGAGGAGCGUCGCAGGCGAGAGGAGGAGAUGAUGAUACGUCAGCGGGAGAUGGAGGAGCAAAUGAGAAGACAGAGAGAAGAGAAUUACAGUAGAAUGGGUUACAUGGAUCCAAGGGAGAGAGACAUGAGGAUGGGUGGUGCCACCACAAUGAACAUGGGAGAUCCUUAUGCUUCUGCAGCCCAGAAAUUCCCACCUCUCGGAGGUGGUGGCGGCAUAGGUUAUGAAGCUAAUCCAGGAGUUGGCCAAGCAGCCAUGAGUGGUUCUAUGAUGGGAAGUGACAUGCGUCCUGAGCGCUUUGGGCAGGGAGGUGCGGGGCCUGUGGGUGGCCAGGGUCCUAGAGGAAUGGGGCCUGGAACACCAACAGGAUAUGGUAGAGGGAGAGAAGAAUAUGAAGGCCCAAACAAAAAGCCCCGAUUUUAGAUGUGACCUGUAGUUUCAUUCCAGUUUGUUUUUUGUCUGUCUUGUUUAGACACCAACUUUUUAAUUCUUGCAUUUUAGUAAGAAAGCUACGUUUUUAUGGAUGUUAGAAAACUUACUGACCUAAUAUUUGUAAGUGGUCUGUUUGGGCGAGUACAAUUUAAUUAUGUAAUGCAGUGUUUCAAAACAAACUUAGCUGUUUUUUUUGAUGUAUAACGUCCCUAACUUGAUGGCAGUGUACCUUGUGCCACUGAAUUCCCAAAGUGUACCAACUUUUUUUUACUGUGCUUCAAAUAAAUAGAAAACUAAAUGUAGUAGCUCUUCUUGCCAUUCGUGGUUAAACAUAACGAGGCUAAAAACCACACCUUCCGCAGUAAACUGAGAGUCUUGAGCAGAGGUCAAACUAGACCAGGGUGUGGAACUGCAGGGAAGAGUGAGAUCUCUUCCCAAAAUGCCUCCUCUCUCUUAAGAUUGGGUCAAAUAGUAGCCUAACUUUGCAGUAGGUGCAGAUCUUUUUUUGAGCAUUAAUUGUGCUGCAAUAAGGAAGCAAAUGGAAAUCUUGCAAGUGCUGCAAGAUGCUUUAAAUCAAGCUACACUGCAAGCAGUGCAGUAUGUAAUGAUGUUCCUAUUUUAGCUCUGGAUAAUGGGUGGUGGGAUGGUAGCACUUAACCACCUUGGCAGUUACUGCUUGGAAUCUUUUAAAGACUUUAAGCAGAAGACUAGCAAUGGUUAUUUUAAACUAAAUUGAUAGAAUGACUUGUAUUGGCUGACUUCCUAACUAAAGGAUUGUUAAUGUGAUAUUUAUAUGCUCUUAAGCUGUUUUGAGAUUACAGGAUCUGGCCUUGCUUCGUAUUGUAUACUUAACCUGAAACUGCUUGGCAAAAAGACCAGAAGUGUUACUGUAGUGAUGAAGGUUAACUUGCUUAUGUCCUCAUGGUAACUGAGUAUAGACUACUUUGCCUAGUUCAGAAUACAAUCAUUUAUUUUAUGGGGACUGCAGGAACUAUUCUUAAAUCGUGUAGCUGGUGGGCAAAUCCUUAAAACCUGUAUGUAAAAUACAGAAAUCAGCUUGCUUGCAUGAUGGUUAUUGCUCUUAUUAUUGAUGUUUGGAGAUAAUGCAUCAAAAGUAGUAUCUGAAUCUGGAGUUUAAGAGUUAAUACUUCACAGUACGAAUAAACUCCCUCUAAGGUUUUUUUGUAGAAGAUCUGAUGAAUUCAUUAGCUUGCUGUUCGUUUUAUUAAGCCCCAGAAGAAUUUCAGAGCAUUCUGGACUCAUUGAUAAGGUAGUUUUUUUGGUUAUUAUUACAUUGUACCAGCUAAGCUGGGAACCUGACUUCCCAGUGUAAAAGACCUUGGUGUUAAGCAGGUUGACGCAUCCUGCAUUGGCACAAAGUAGGUAAACUUAGUUUGGCUGUACCUUCACAUGAUUCCCCAACUACUGAGCAUUCUGUGAGUAGCUUUAAUUCCUUCCCAAGAUCUUUCCCAUUCCUUGUGCUGAGCAUUGGCUAAUUCUAAAUUCUAUACUAAAUUUUCUCUGUGGUUAAAACUUGGUUUCAGAUUGCAGUAUUUUAGAGUGCAGGUGAUCCCUCUUGAAGUACUUGCUGCAAGUGCUAUUACUGCUUAACUGAAAAAAUAGCCUGUUGGUAAAUGUUGAUACCAGGUAACACCGACUUGAAAUAUCAAGUGCAUUAAAGAGUGACUCAGCUUGUUUGGUGAAUGCUGCUUCUUUUCCCAGAAAAGUUUGGGGGUUGUUAACAACGAAUUGCUCUUCAGGAAAUUCCCAAUUGGCAGUUCCUAAAUGGCAUAGCAGGUAUUUGGGAGUACUUGUACUGGAUACUUAGUUUAAAAAUCAGCAGUACCGAUGCAAUUUGCUUUAUUGAAGUAGUAUUAACCAAUGCCUAUGUGUUGUGGAGGGUGUUCGUGGGACACCCACAGAAGGUGAAGGUGUCUGAGAUGGGGAAUUCUGAACAUAAACAUUAAAUUAAUUUUUUCAGUUUAUUUUUCAGAUUACAUGUCUUUCUUUAUUAAAGAGAUGCCGGUGCAUAUCCUAAAGUAUGUUCUUUUGUAGUUCUGUAACUUGGAAGAGUGAAGGAUGCUGAUGUCCUUGUACCUUACAGAGGUUGUCUUUUGGUACCCCUGUAUUAUACGUAAGCUCCCGUUGCUAGGUAUUAAAAUUAGCUGAGUUGCAAAACUCAUGAUGAGUAACUACUGAAAGAUUUGGCAGUUUUCAAAACAUCUGAAAGUUGGGUUAAAUCUAGCUUUGUUGGAGCUGCAGAAGCAGAACUUCUAAAACAAGUUCUGCUUUGAGUUGCAUGUAUUAAAAAGGCAUACAAUUAACUAGCCAACUUCUUUUUCAAGCCUUUUUUUUUAAGGUGGUGUCUUAAAAGCUGGCAAACAUGUCAACUUUAAAUCUGCUAAAUGUGGGAGGUGAGAAAGUUAUGUUCCUUUGAUCUGUUCCUCUGAGGUUUUGGACUUUUUUCAUAAAACCAGAUUUAUAUAAUUGAAUCUUUAAAACCGUUUAGAAAAGUGCUUUGUUGGCCAGAUCUGGUUUUGGACAGUCUGGAUCACGUCACACAUUUUUGUACUGGACUUGGAGGACAUUGGCUGUUGCAAUUUAGCUUGCUUAAUCAAAUUUGUUGAGCCCAUUUUGACACUUAGAUCUCUAAAAACUGCAGCAUGUAGAAAGUGGUAUCGUUAUACAGAGAUCUUCACACUUUGAUCAGAAAUGAAUGCAGAGUAAUCUUUUAUCUUCUGGUGUAGACACAUGACACUAAUCAUUUAUACAGCUGAUGAGAAACUGCAACUGCUUUUCAGAUUUUGUGGUAUUUUUGUGGUAGAGAAAUUCUUGGCUUCUCCUUGGCAACCAUUUACUGUGGCAGCAAGUUUUUGCUGGAGUUUUGAGACUGCAAUUUACACUUAUAACUAGUGGCCUGCUACAUAACUGCACUUAGCCAGCAUUUCUGCAGUUCAUAACUGUGAGGAACGUAGUACCACAAAUGGCAAUGGACAUUAGGACCCGGAUGUAGUAUUCCUGCUUGCUCCAAGAUUCUCAUUGCCGACUGCGUACAGGUGAAGAUGAAAGCUGAGUGAAACCGGUGUGCUCAUCCAUGGGAAGUAAGCAUAACUUCUGGUCUUGUUCUGAGCGGGUGAAGUAAUGAAGGCUUCUGGGCAUUGACCUUCACCUUUGAAUCGGUGAAUAUUGAGAAAUGGGAGCCGAGCGUGAGCACAUCCAGCAUGAUGCCCAGUGGUACGUGGAGGGACCAAGAGAUCAAGAGAAGUAAGUAGUUAGUGUCUUUCUACUGCUGUGGGAGCUCAGUGGCCCAGCACCCUGGGAGGUAUUACAUAGUUCCUGCCUGGAAUUUGCCCUUGAUUAAUCUUCAUUUUAUAUAAAACUUCUGAAUCUUUCUUUUGUAGACCAAGGAUAUAACCAUUGUUCAGGGCUUUUCAGCCAUGCAGCAUCAAAUAAACUGUCCUGAAUGCUGUUGGUGGUCAAACAACUACUUCUGUAUUCUGGCUUCAGUGAACUGGGUGGGUGAUUGUCAGCAAGGAAAAAGGAGCAAUAGAGCAGCUUCCUCGUGUUAAUCCAACUAGAAGCUGGUAAAAAGCAACUUUAAUAUUUCAGUGAACAUUGAACUUUCUAAAUAACCUGGAAUGUAAACUUGGCACUUUCAAGAGCAUAGGCAGAUGGUGAUUUAGGGAAAUAAACGAACUUGGAGCUGGAAUUAAUGACCUUUUCCCUCUGAUUUACCACUAAAACUACAAGGGGGAACUUCAGAUACUUAAAAUCUUGUGUGAGAAGCAACAUGCAAGGUACCUUAAGUCACAAGUCACAGGUAAGUAACAGAUAUGCCGCAGCUGAACCUGUGAGAU